UACGUAGGGGGCAAGCGUUGUCCGGAUUUAUUGGGCGUAAAGCGCGUGUAGGCGGCUUGGUAGGUCAGCUGUGAAAACUCGAGGCUCAACCUCGAGCUGUCGGUUGAAACCACCUUGCUAGAGUCCGGAAGAGGAGAGUGGAAUUCCUGGUGUAGCGGUGAAAUGCGCAGAUAUCAGGAAGAACACCGGUGGCGAAGGCGGUUCUCUGGGCCUUACCUGACGCUGAGGAGCGAAAGCGUGGGGAGCGAACAGG
rnacentral:rRNA from 1 species